UUCUAUUCUCAAUUUCGUUUCUUUUUUUCUUUCCGUCUCUCCUCUGUCUCUGAGAAGGAGAAUAAGUGAAGAACUCUGUUGGAACUUGGAUUACUCCUCUGUCUCGUUGAUUGAUAUGAGUUUAUGUCUCAGUUCUUACUAAGAGGGUAAGACAAAGGGAAAAGAAAGGAACUGAACUGGAUUAAGUAUCAAUCAGAUUAUCUAAGGGAGUGGAGAAAGAGAAGGAAAAGGUGCUGAAGUGCAGAUUUAAGUUCUUGG